GCACAGCGCCCAGGGACUCCUCUCAAGCACGGCACUGUCUCCACUGAAACAGAAAUGGAAGUGUGGAUGGACCAUGGACUGCAUCUGGACCCAAGAGUCAUCUGCAGGAUUAACUCACAUGUCUAGUGGCUGCACCAGCAUCCUGCACAUCUGUCUUCAAGCAGCUUCUCCUUAUGACUAGGCUGGGACAGAAUGAGGCAGCUGAACAGCAGUGCCCAAGGUGGCCAGAAGAGGGCGUCAGAUUCCCAAAAACUGGAGUGACAGGUGAUUGUGAGCCACACCACGUGUGUCCUAGGAAUGGAACCCAGGUCCUCUGCAAGAGCAUCAGGGCUCUUGGCCACCGAGCAGUCUCUCCAGCCCCUGUUUGUAUUCAAAUUUUAAACUUCAUUAUUCUACAAAUAACAUUCAUUCAUUUCUUCAAAUUAGCAUAUAAACUUAA